GCUGGGCGUGGUGGCGGGCGCCUGUAAUCCCAGCUACUCAGGAGGCUUGAGGCAGGAGAAUCACUUGAACCCGGGAGGCAGAGGUUGCAGUGAGCCGAGAUCAUGCUACUGCACUCCAGCCUGGGUGACAGAGUGAGACUCUGUCUCAA
rnacentral:SRP_RNA from 1 species